rnacentral:rRNA from 1 species
GACGAGGGGUCCUAGCGUUGUUCGGAAUCAUUGGGCGUAAAGCGUUUGUAGGCUGCCAUUCAAGUCAGUUGUGAAAGCCCCGGGCUUAACCCGGGAAGUGCUUCUGAUACUGUUUGGCUUGAGUACUGGAGAGGAUAGUAGAAUUCCUGGUGUAGUGGUGAAAUACGUAGAUAUCAGGAGGAAUACCGGUGGCGAAGGCGGCUAUCUGGCCAUGUACUGACGCUGAGACGCGAAAGCGUGGGGAGCGAACAGG